rnacentral:lncRNA from 1 species
GGACAAUUUCAGUGUCUCAUUCUCCACUGGCCACGUCAUGUAUGCUUGAGUUAUUGGUCGAUAAUAAGCAAUGAAGGAGUAACCUAUGAGGGCAGUGAGUACACACAGAUUUCCCCAGGAAGCCCCUCUUAAACCACCCUGCAACAAAUUGUUAAAACUUCAGGGACUUUCGGCAGGGUGGUGCAGGCAAACCUUGGGCAGGCGAGGGCAAAUAUCACACCACAAACUACUGUGACUGCAAAUUAAAUUCCUGAUACCUAUGCCAUUCAUUUAUGGAAAGAUAACGUUGUAGAUGCUGUAUGGUGCUGCCCACCCCCACCUCCCGCUUCAGGAAGAAGGGGACUCCCUGCCCCCCACCUGCCUGCCCACCCCCGCUGCCAGCUGCUGGGAAUGUGCUCAAAGGCUCUUACCAUCAACCCUCUUUGGGGAUUGCCUCAAGCUGAAGGAAACUUCCUCAACCCCAGCUCCACCUCCUCCCAGGACCAGAGAGCAUCCAGUGACUGAGGGAUGGGGUGGGGGUGGGUGGUAGGAAUGAAGGCCCAGCCCCUCCUCCCAUCUUGGGGCCGCUCUGAGGGGUCGUCCAGCUUCAGACCUCCCGGGGGUUGGCCUUGCUGGGAAUCCAUCCAGAUCAAGGUUUCCAUGUGCCUGAUCCCCCCUCCUCUCCUCCUCUCCCGGAGCACACUCCCGCAUCCGUGAUCCUCACGAGUCUCCACUCAGAAUCCGCCUCCUAGAAAACCAACCUGCCAUGCAGGCAAGAUGAGCAAUCCAAACAGUGCACCAAGGAAAACAAGCAUGGCCAGUGCCCGUGGGUACUUCCAGAGAUGCUCCUGCGUGUGCGAAUGUGUAGAUAUGAAAAUAUGCAUGUACAUAUGCACAUUUUGGCCGUUUUCUUAGAAAAGAUGUAGCAUCUUAUACUUUAAAAUUUAAAAUCAUUUUGUUUUUGUUUUUGUUUUGUCUUUUGUUUUUAGGGCUGCACCCGUGGCAUGUGGAAGUUCCCAGGCUAGGGGUGGAAUCAGAGUUGCAGCUGCCAGCCUACACCACAGACGCAGCAACAGGGGAUCCAAGUCUCAUCUGUGACCUACACAACAGCUCAUGGCAAUGCCAGAUCCUUAACCCAUGGAGUGAGGCCAGGGAUCGAACCUGCAUCCUCAUGGAUACUAAGUCAGGUUCUUAACCCACUGAGCCACAACGGAAACUUCCAGAUCAUUUUAAAAGGUGCCUUUCUUCAAAAUGAGGGACUUAAGGAAUCAAAAGAUACCACAUUCCAUUCUUAAUAUGAAAAUCUUGGGUUAAGCCUUUAAACCACUUCCACGCAGGCCGUGCGUGCUGGAUGCAUAUUUGCAGAUAGGGUAAUACCUGGAUCACCAUUGUCAGCGUCUCUGGUGGGAAGUGGAAUGUUUUUAUUAAAAAUUCUCUUGUUUGCUUUUCAGGAGAAAAAAAAAAUGAAAGCAGAUCUGCAAGCCGGGUCUGUUUUUAAUCAGAGCAUAAUCUUUAUGAGACAAGGCAAGGCUGAGAAUUAUUUAAUCCAAUAUUUUUCAAGAAAAAUACAUGUUCGGGCCACACCGGCAGCAUAUGGAAGUUCCCAGAGGUUGAACCGAAAUGCACCACAGCUUUAGUAAUGCCGGAUCCUUAAGCCACUGAACGAGGCCAGGGAUCAAACCCACAUCCUCGUGGACACGGUGUUGAGCUCUUAACCUGCUGAGACACCAUGGGAUCUCCCUAUCCAAAGGAACGCUUGACUGCUGUGAACAAGCACAAAUAUAUUUACUUGAACUACCAAUCAACUGAGUUAAUUGGAUCAAUUUGUGUCCUUGACUAAGAACAAGAAAAUGAUUCUG